rnacentral:snRNA from 1 species
GUGCUCACCUCGGCAGCACAUAUACUAAAAUUGGAACGAUACAGAGAAGAUUAGCAUGGCCCCUGCACAAGGAUGACACACAAAUUCGUGAAGCGUUCCAUAUUAAA